rnacentral:lncRNA from 1 species
CCGAGCCGCCCAGCCCCGCGCCUGGCGUGCCUCCGCCGUCGCCUGCGCCGCCCAGCCCCUCGCCUGGCGUGCCUCCGCCAUCGCCCGAGCCGCCCAGCCCCGCGCCUGGCGUGCCUCCGCCGUCGCCUGCGCCGCCCAGCCCCUCGCCUGGCGUGCCUCCGCCAUCGCCCGAGCCGCCCAGCCCCGCGCCUGGCGUGCCUCCGCCGUCGCCCGAGCCGCCCAGCCCCGCGCCUGGCGUGCCUCCGCCAUCGCCCGAGCCGCCCAGCCCCGCGCCUGGCGUGCCUCCGCCGUCGCCUGCGCCGCCCAGCCCCGCGCCUGGCGUGCCUCCGCCGUCGCCUGCGCCGCCCAGCCCCGCGCCUGGCGUGCCUCCGCCGUCGCCUGCGCCGCCCAGCCCCGCGCCUGGCGUGCCUCCGCCGUCGCCCGAGCCGCCCAGCCCCGCGCCUGGCGUGCCUCCGACGUCGCCUGCGCCGCCCAGCCCCGCGCCUGGCGUGCCUCCGCCGUCGCCUGCGCCGCCCAGCCCUGCCCCCGGCGUGCCUCCGCCGUCGCCCGAGCCGCCCAGCCCCGCGCCUGGCGUACCUCCGCCGUCGCCUGCGCCGCCCAGCCCCGCGCCUGGCGUACCUCCGCCGUCGCCUGCGCCGCCCAGCCCUGCCCCCGGCGUGCCUCCGCCGUCGCCUGCGCCGCCCAGCCCCGCGCCUGGCGUGCCUCCGCCUUCGCCCGAGCCGCCCAGCCCUGCCCCCGGCGCCACUCCGCCGUCGCCCGAGCCGCCCAGCCC